GCCAGUUUGGCUCAGUGGACAGAGCAUCAGCCUGCAGACUGAAGGGCCCCAGGUUCAAUUCCAGGCAAGGGCG
rnacentral:tRNA from 1 species